GAAAGAAGAAAAAGGGGAGGAAACUCUGGGAAUUUGGGCUGGAUUUCUGGAUUGAUUGCUAAAGGAGCGUGCAAUUGGUCAUGCUGGUCAUACUGUUGGACCAGACUGGUCAUACUGGUCAGUCAGUGUUGGAGAAACAGAACCCGGGUCAGAAGUCCAUCCCUGGUUUUUUAGUUCUGUUGGCCGCCAAGCUGGUUGUCAAGAUGGUCAAAUUAGUGUAUUUGUAUCGUCUCAACGAGAUAAUGAUGGUCAUGCUGGUCAACCAACACUGUCAUAAGGGACACGCUUGUGGACCAACUAAUCCAUCAAAUUUAAACAAAAACCUACCCUAUUCUGCUCAACCAGCAUAUCCAGCUUAUCUUAACCAUCUUGGGCUUUCCACAAAAUUUUAUUCCAUUUUUAAAAAUAAUUUGUUCAAAACCAUUGUCCCAGAUAUCUGAGCCAGCUUGAGCUUUAAGGUUCAAAGGCUCCCCAGAGGCUCCUGGUAGUCACUGGUUCCACUGGUCUGGGUUUUCUUGGUUUAAUAGGCAAUGUUGAAGUGGCGUUAUGAAAUAGCAACUAUGAAAUGAGAGAUUCUGAGAAGCUCUGACAUUCGGAAAGCGAGAAUUGCGAGCCAGAGGGACGUUCAAAUGGACUUCCUCCCACGUGUAGAAACUUCCCGGUUCCCACUUGGUCAUAAACGCAGCCUGAGGAAUGAAUUCUCUUCUGAGGAAGCGAGGUGAAAUUAGAAAAAGUGAGAGAGGAAGAGCGAGAGAGGUGCUCUAGGGAAUAAAUACUGGCACGAGCGCCGAUAAUUCCUGCUGUGGCAAUUCAAAAGCAAUUAUUAUUAUUAUAAUUUAAUAUAUAACAUUAUCUUAUAAUAACUUAUUAGAACUGUGGGAAGGAGCUCCGGAAAGCGGCAGGCAAAGAGAAUUUUCUACCUAAUUUCUUACAGAAGCACAGACUCGACUCGACUCACAAAACUCCCCUCUCUGGUUAUUCACGCUAGCAUUAGCGUGCACACACACACACUCAUACACACUUCCCAGGAACACCAGAGGAGACAGUGGAGCUGUCACUCUCCACAAUCUCCCGUUACAUUUGCGUAAAUAAUUCACUGGUGCACUCCCGACCAAAGUUACGAAACAUCUCGUAUCUGAAAUAUUGAUUUUGGGCCCUGCGAGCUGCAUUGUUUGAAAAAUAGGCCUCAUGAAAAAUGCACUCAUCCCCAAGUAUGAAUAUUCAUGCGCCAGUAUUAAAAUAAAAAACAGCCACUCCUGAGUCGCUUAAAGGAGCAGAAACCCGUUUAGGUUCAAACGUUUCUGCGAGAGCGAGAAAAAAAGCUCUUACAGAGUAUACUGUAGCUCUUACAGAAGUCACGGCUCCGCCCACUUUGGCACUUCACGCAUGACUACAACUCUUCAACUCUGUGACACAUUCUGAUGUCGUUCGUCUUUGCUUUCGAGUCCCAGAGAUUCACCUGGUCUGUCUGAGCACAGCGCUCUUCUUCUCCCAGACUCUUCUUCUCCCGUCUGCCCUCGUUUAGAGACCACCGAAGCCCUGCUCCUUUAACCUGGGAACAAAACAGACCACCCUGAAUCUCACACUGAACCUUUCAAUCACCCUCCUGAUCUAUCUAUUAGUUAAUCUAAGGAAAAGUGCGUACUUUUCUUUUUCACACCAUUCUCUCAAUUUUUAGAUUCUCCAAAAACUAACAAACUUGUCAGCUUAUUUUAUGUGUUUUUCAUUUGUUUUCAUAUAUUUUUUUUUAAUUUUCAUAUUUGUCAGUUGAGAUAUGUUGACAUACAGGGGUUGGACAAUGAAACUGAAACCUGGUUUUAGACCACAAUAAUUUAUUGUGGUGACGGACAGUUCUGGUUGAAAUAGGAGAGUUGAGGUGCACGUUGAAUUCUGUCGUGAUUUGGGCAGCCGUGGUUUUAUGUUUUUUGGAUACAAUCCGGGUUAGCACCCGAACAUCCCUUUCAGACAGAUUCCUCUUACAGCAUCCACAGUUAAUCCUGUUGGAUGUGGUUCCUCCUUCUUGGUGGUAUGCUGCUCAUUCCCCAACACUAACUUCACCCCCGAGCAUGCCAGUACAACACACAACAACAAGCGAGCGGUGCUGCAGCAUGGAAGCUAGUAAGCAGGCUGGUUCAGCUGAAACCUUAGAUCAGUGACCAAAAAAUAUCAGUGACUAAACAGCUUAAUCAGAAUAGGCAUUGUGCUCACAUGGUUUGUUGGGAUGUAUUUUAGUCCGUUUAGUUUUGCGCCUGUGUGAAAAAAAACAAAAAGAGGAGGAAAACGCUCCAAGUACCAGAGACCAAACUACAGGUGUGAAAAAGCCCUAAAUCUUAUUGACCAGUCCGAACCAAGCUAACCAAAAGCCAAGUUUUUAAUGUCAAUCAAAGAGGUUAGUUAAUUUUUUCAUAUAUUCAUAAAUUCAUCUUAAAUUAUUGUUUUUAUCAAGCAAGACAAUCAGCUUUAGUUCAGUUCCCGUCAAAACUGGUAAACAAAAUUCAAAUAAACUGUUAUACCCCCCAAAGUAACUGAAAUCUACAUACUGUAUUGUAGAAAAUGUCAAUCAUCGGAACUCAAGCACUUUAAAAGAGGCCAUACACAAUACCAUACACCUUUUGACAUAGGUCUAUUGAGAACAGAUUUAAACCAAUCAGAAAGUAUAUACAUACAUAUAAAACAGUUAUACAGACUUGUAUUUAAAUAGCUCAGUUGCUUCAAAUAAAUGAAUUAAUUAUCUCAGCAGCAGCUCUCUGUAUUUUAAUGUGUUUUAUUAUGGUGGGAAAGGCAAAUAGUUAAAACUAAUAAGACAUUAAGGUUAUCAGAAAAAGGAAGAAACAUUUUGUUUGCAGUUCUUACGCUGUUUACCGCUGAAGUUAUUGUAAUACUGUCACAUCUGACACUGAACAAUUGUCAAAGAACUCCACUUCCCAGCAUGCUCUGGACUAUGACUCUGCAGAUCACAUCACCCAAGAUCACCUGAGUAUUGAUUUCACCUGUUCACCUCACUAUAGUAGAUAUCUCUGUUAUGCACUCACUAAUCAAGUAUUAGAUUUGGUUCUGUCCGUUUAUACAAAGUGUUUAUCUAGUCCAUUCUUUUUGUUUAUUCUGUGUAUGACCCUUUUUGUAUUUCCGAUAUUGUUUUUUUACCUUGCCCUCUGAUACUUCUUUGCCAUGUUUUGACCCUGCCUGUUUUUACAUGACCCCUUUGUUUGUUUUGUUUAAUAAACUCACUUUUUUGUUA